GACGUAGGCAGCAAGCGUUGUUCGGAGUUACUGGGCGUAAAGAGUGUGUAGGUGGUCCUCUAAGUUUGGUGUGAAAUCUCCCGGCUCAACUGGGAGGGUGCGCCGAAAACUGGGGGGCUUGAGUGUGGGAGAGGAAAGCGGAAUUCCAGGUGUAGCGGUGAAAUGCGUAGAUAUCUGCAGGAACACCCGUGGCGAAAGCGGCGAGCUGGACCACUACUGACGCUGAAGAACGAAAGCUAGGGGAGCAAACAGG
rnacentral:rRNA from 1 species